UGCCUUCUUAACCACAGUACCAUCCAAGAGUCUCAUCUCCUCAAUCUGCUGGAGUCUGUCUUUCCAUAGUGGAAUAGACAACUCACUGUCGUACCAAAGAUUAAAACCCCAUUGACUAUCUUCACCUGGUUUAGCUGACGAUGAAGCCAUUGCCGAGGUUGUGGCCACUGUUGCAUGCAAGCAGCCACAAGGAGCCACAGAGCAAAUCUUUGGGAUGCACUAUGGAGGAGGCGCCACUAAGCAAGUAAAAGUAAGAAUCAGGAACCAGCUGCUAUCAAUGAAACCGGCUGAGUAUUACAUAACUAAGGAAAGGACAGUGCAAAUACCAAGUGCAAAAAGAAGGAGGAGGAGGAGGA